rnacentral:rRNA from 1 species
GUUUGAUCCUGGCUCAGAGCGAACGCUGGCGGCGUGCUUAACACAUGCAAGUCGAGUGCGCGCCUGUAGCAAUACAGGUGGCGCACGGCGCACGGGUGCGUAACACGUGGGUAAUCUGCCCUUCGAUGGGGAAUAACUCGCCGAAAGGCGAGCUAAUUCCGCAUAACAUUCCGAGGACUUUGGUUUUCGGAUUCAAAGGCGUAAGUCGUCGGAGGAGGAGCCCGCGCACGAUUAGCUAGUUGGUGAGGUAAUGGCUCACCAAGGCUAUGAUCGUUAGCUGGUCUGAGAGGAUGGCCAGCCACACUGGAACUGAGACACGGUCCAGACUCCUACGGGAGGCAGCAGUGGGGAAUCUUGCACAAUGGGCGAAAGCCUGAUGCAGCGACGCCGCGUGGGGGAUGAAGCUUUUCGGAGUGUAAA